rnacentral:rRNA from 1 species
AGCGAACGCUGGCGGCAGGCUUAACACAUGCAAGUCGAGCGGACCUUUCGGGGUCAGCGGCGGACGGGUGAGUAACGCGUGGGAACGUGCCUUCCGGUUCGGAAUAACCCUGGGAAACUAGGGCUAAUACCGGAUACGCCCUUAUGGGGAAAGGUUUACUGCCGGAAGAUCGGCCCGCGUCUGAUCAGCUAGUUGGUGGGGUAACGGCCUACCAAGGCGACGAUCAGUAGCUGGUCUGAGAGGAUGAUCAGCCACACUGGGACUGAGACACGGCCCAGACUCCUACGGGAGGCAGCAGUGGGGAAUAUUGGACAAUGGGCGCAAGCCUGAUCCAGCCAUGCCGCGUGAGUGAUGAAGGCCUUAGGGUUGUAAAGCUCUUUUAUCCGGGACGAUAAUGACGGUACCGGAGGAAUAAGCCCCGGCUAACUUCGUG